rnacentral:rRNA from 1 species
UACGAAGGGGGCUAGCGUUGCUCGGAAUCACUGGGCGUAAAGCGCACGUAGGCGGAUUGCUAAGUCAGGGGUGAAAUCCUGGAGCUCAACUCCAGAACUGCCUUUGAUACUGGCGGUCUCGAGUCUGGGAGAGGUGAGUGGAACUGCGAGUGUAGAGGUGAAAUUCGUAGAUAUUCGCAAGAACACCAGUGGCGAAGGCGGCUCACUGGCCCGGUACUGACGCUGAGGUGCGAAAGCGUGGGGAGCAAACAGG